rnacentral:rRNA from 1 species
GAUGAACGCUGGCGGCGUGCCUAAUACAUGCAAGUCGAGCGAACAGAUUAGUUACUUUCUCUUCUGACGUUAGUGACGGACGUAUUAGUAGCACGUUGAUUAACUCCCUAUAAGACUGGGUUACCUUCGGGAAUCCGCGUCUAAUACCGGAUAUUAUAUUGAAUCGCAUUGUUCAUUCGCGAAAGACGGUUUUGCUGUCACUUAUAGAUUGAUCCGCGCUUCAUUAGCUAUUUGUGAAGGUAACGGCUUAACAAGACAACGAUGCGUAGCAGACCUGAGAGGGUGAGAGGACAAACCGGAACUGAGGAGAGGACCAGAAUCCUACGGGAGGCAGAAGUAGGGAAUCUUCAGCAAUGGGAGAAAGCCUGAAGGAGCAACGACGCGUGAGUGAUGAAGGUCUUGGGACCGUAAAACUCAGUUAUUAGGGAAGAACAAAUGUGUAAGUAAAUAUGAACGUAUUGACGGUACCAAACCAGAAAGCCACGGCUAACUACGUG